rnacentral:piRNA from 1 species
UGGAGGAGAACAAAGCCAUUUCCAAGGACUGU